GACGAACGCUGGCGGCGUGCUUAACACAUGCAAGUCGAACGGAAAGGCCCUGCUUUUGUUGGUUGCUCGAGUGGCGAACGGGUGAGUAACACGUGAGUAAACUGCCCUUGUCUUUGGGAUAACUUCUGGAAACUGGGGCUAAUACCGGAUAGGAGCUCCUGAUGCAUGGUGGGGGUUGGAAAGUUUCGGCGGUUGGGGAUGGAUUGGCGGCUUAGCAGCUUGUUGGGGGGGUAGUGGCUUACCAAGGCUUUGACGGGUAGCCGGCCUGAGAGGGUGAACGGCCACAUUGGGACUGAGAGACGGCCCAGACUCGAACGGGAGGCAGCAGGGGGGAAUAUUGCGCAGUGGGCGGAAGCCUGAUGCAGCAACGCCGCGUGCGGGAUGACGGCCUUCGGGUUGUAAACCGCUUUCGCCGGUGACGAAGCGUGAGUGACGGUAAUGGGUAAAGAAGCACCGGCUAACUACGUG
rnacentral:rRNA from 1 species